UGAUGCUCUGUCCCCUCUUUCUUGUCGGAACAGUUCUUCUCCUCUCUUUGUAAAGAAACACUUGAGAAACCCAGUUCGUUUUCUGUUCUUGAACUAUGUCCGAGUACAACAUAACGAUUUUAGCGCUGAUGUUGCUGCUCAGCGUGAUAACGGUAACUUCAUCAGCAUCGCGGUCGCCGGAUGUCAUUGAGUCUCUGCUCACCCGACCGGAGUCCAAAAGGGCAUCCCCAUCGGUUCGAGAAACGGCUGCUGAAGGCCUUCUUAAAAGAUUGCUUCCUUUCCAUUCGCACAGGAUUAAAGGUACCACAGCAGUUGAAUUAGCAUCCGGCUUGCAUUGGUAUUUGAAGUAUUAAUGCGAUGCUUAUGUUUCCUGGGACAAGACUGGUAGCAUACAGGUGGCUUCUGUUCCUAAGGCAGGAUCCCUGCCUAGGCUGAAGGGCAAGGGUGUGAUGAUUCAGUGAUCCGUCCCAUGGAGCUAUUAUCAAAAUGUUGUUGCAUCAAGUUGUGGGGUGACCCAUUAUCACAGAACUUGUUGGAUCAACAGCUAAACUUGCAGUAACAGAUAUUGUCCUGGAUGUCAGAGCUAGGCAUGUUUCGAGUUCUUCCAUCCUUCUCUGGGAAUGUUCCAGAAGCAUUGAAGAAGAUACAUUCGUCAGCUAAUAUAACUAGACUUGGGGACCGGUAUGGCUAGACUCGGGGACUGGUAUGGCUCUUUUUCUGUUUGUAAUUUCUUAAGUGUUGAUGACUUUGAUGACCUUUUCACUCUUAUAUUGUCCUCCCAUGCAUCCCUUUUUUGUCUUCCUGCUUGGGUUCGAUAAGUUCUUCAUCUAGAUACAGUUUUUGUUAAGAUGCUACACAUGGCAUUUUUUUAAUUUCCUUGUCAAUUAUAAGACUUGUAAAACAAAUAGAGAAAAGGUCAAAGACAUUAUUUUGUUUUACUACCUGGAAGAGGAUAGUCAAGAAAUUCGGUCGACAAUAUUUCUCAACGUCCAAGAUAUGAUGUAUCUGAUACAUGCUAGCAAUAAAGAAAUCUUAUGCUAUUCUGAA